rnacentral:lncRNA from 1 species
GGGCGGACCUUUAGUUAUGUGGGACGUAGCCCGGGCUACGGCUCAACUUUUUACUAGUAGUGUUAAUUUUUAUUUUAUUUUUUCGAUUUUUAUACAUAGGACACCCCUGAACAAGUACGAGGACACCCCUCAAAUUUUUUUUUACAAAAUAAUAAGAUGUUGGUAAGCCCAAAUAAGUAAAUAAUAACACAUUAGGUAAGCCCAAAUAAGUAAAUAAUAACACAUUUGCUAAGCCCAAAUAAGUAAAUAAUAGCCAAAAUUGAAUGAUUAUUGAUUUGGGCAAUUGGGCGGUAUGUUUAAUCACUGUUGGAUAUCGAACAGACGUGAACGAACAAAGAGCCAACAACAUUGAACGAACAUCAGUGGCACUUCGGCAGAUCAUUGAACGAACAGACGUGAGAGACGUCGACUCCAAAAAACGAACGAACGGAAGUACAUAAUCGGCACUUGAACUUCGGCAGGAACGCAUAUUUCUUGUCCUUUAGUUUAU